UACAGAGGGGGCGAGCGUUAUUCGGAAUUAUUGGGCGUAAAGGGCGCGUAGGCGGCUUUGCAAGUGACGGGUGAAAUCCCUCGGCUUAACCGAGGAACUGCCUGUCAGACUGUAAGGCUUGAGACCGGGAGAGGUGAGUGGAAUUCCCAGUGUAGCGGUGAAAUGCGUAGAUAUCUGGAGGAACACCGGUGGCGAAGGCGGCGUUCUGGACUGUAACUGACACUGAAAAACGAAAGCCAGGGGAGCAAACGGG
rnacentral:rRNA from 1 species